GGGAGCAUCUUAAGGGCAGCGCCGCCCACGCGCGAGGUGAAUGAAGGACACGGCCUCUGACACUCCCAGGCAGCACAGAUAGACGGAUGCGUGUCUGCCCUUGAUCACAUCAGCAGAAUCCUUUUGCCAUUGGCUAGAAGUGACCCCAGGAUUUUUUUAUUAUCAAGAGAGACUAGAAGAAUCAUGAGACUUUUCCUAGUUGCCUUUCAAGAAUAUGAAGAAAAAAAUGGUUCUCAAAGUGGGUUUGAAUGAGUAUUGUUCCAAAAAAUGAACUUAUAUUCAUAUUUUA
rnacentral:sRNA from 1 species